AAUACAUUACCAUCAUGUCCUUUUCGCUAUGAAAUUUUAUGGACAUGAAGAUUUGAAGCUUGAUUUGUGCUCAAGAUUUUAGCACCCCUUGGCUUUCAUAUUUGUUCUCAAAUAAUAUUUGCCAGAAGUUGAUUUUUUAAUCAGUUUCUGAAACCUGCCCCUGACGGCCCACUGCCAUCGCCCCUGCCCCUGUAUAUUAUUCUAUCAUGAAUAUUUUCUUGGUGGCCAACAACAAAAUAUAGCUAAACUGGCUUUGAAGAUUCAUGGAAGGCGGAGCAGUCUGCAAUAUACCUCUAUCUGCUAUCUCAAAAAUGGUUGCUAGAGUCUCCAUUUUUCAAACGCGCCUAUGUUUUGAAACUGUUGCUAUUGCAAUGUGGAGCUUUUCUUACUGGUUUGGAUGUCCUCCUGACGUAGAGAAUUUUUUCUGUAAUUUUGUUCUAAGCCUCCAGCAGGCUUUGAUUCGCUGUAAGGGCAAAGAUCUAUUGUAGUUGUAGCUCCUCUUAUGGACAUAAGCUUUCAUAGCCUGAGACGACGUAAACUUUCUGCGUUCUCCAUUCUUGAUCUCAAUCCGUUGAUUCUGUCAUGUUUGCUCAGCACAAAAUUUACAGUAAUGAUCGUAGAAUCUGGUGUGGCAUGAUUUUGCUGAUAACCCAAUAAAUUUACACCAACUUCCAUGGUUCAUAUCACUAUGCCUGGAACGAGCGGAGAACAAUGUAGGAACAAUACAAAGACGGGGAAGGAGAAAGGCUGGGACGGAGGUGGAGGUCACCCUUCCAGCAACUAAUGAAUCCUGCCGCUGUUUAGUUAGAUUUGGCAAGGACACAAAAUCCAAUUGUUAAUCAGAUUUGAACUUGGCAUCCAGCCGGGGAAUUGAAUCUGAUUCAAAAUCUGAAAGACCAUUAAAGAUUAACCUGAUUACAUAGCUUCAGAUCGAGAGUCGAGGCUGCAUUAAGAGGUGUGCAUUAUAAGAUCUUCAGUUUAAAUAAACUAGGAGGAUGGGGCAUUGGAUAGCCUUGCAUCUCAAAUUACUCCAGGUUGAUUCGAAGCUUUGUCAAACAACAAAUAUAAGAUCCUUGGAUUUCAAAUCCACGAUAAGCCUGUGAAUUAGCACUAAAACCGUUAGUGGGUUCUAUGGUGAAACAAAUACACUGUAAUGGUGAAACAAACACACUGUAUGAUCAGGAAAUAGUUUUCAAAACUUAAGCCUAAAUUCCAACCAAAUCAGAUAGACCAAAGGGGAUCCUAUCCUGCGAGGUAACGCAUAAACAUCAAAUCUUAUACUUUUAGUGGGGUCCGAAAUUGGCAUUUCAAAAAAAAAAGGUCUGGAAUCUGAUCAGAUAAAAUAGGAUCCGGUCAGGUCAGAAUUGGUGAAGCUGGAUCUUGUUUACAUCCUUGUUUUCUGGAUUUCUAGUUGCAGAGGCAUCGGGGAAACCACAGAGAGAGACAGAUAGAAUGGCCGGUGAAACAACCAGUCAAACGGGGGAAGGACAGUUCUGGAGCAUCUGAUUUGUGUUGGUUUUUCUUCCUCCCCUUUAAAUGCUUACAGUCAUCUCCUUCCCCCUCUCCCCACCACCACUACCCACAUCCCCUGUACUUCCUUCCUGUCCGUUGGCUAAAUAAGAGAAAGAGGUCACCAUCCGCUGUAAGCAUCAACAUCUAUAAAGCAGAAGGGAAACAGGCCAUAGUUACUGAACUGCAGAAUGCGACCUCAUGGUCCUCAUCAUCCUCACGGGCCACCACCACCUCCUCCUCCACUAGCACCACCCCCACCGCCACCUCCACUCCUACCUCCACCGCCACCGCUUCCUCCUCCACCACCGCCACCACCACCACCAGCAGGACCUCGGGGCGAUUACUGCUGCGCAUGCAUCAAAGAUGUGCUCUCAAUAUUGUGCUGCUGCUGGCUGUUUGAGUCGAUCUUCGGUGGGCCUCUCUAUGCUCCGCUCGCUCCGCCACCUCCUCCUCCUCCUCCCUGACGGGUACAAUCACCAGACAAUGACAUCCAAACAAACUUCUUCUUCUUCUUCGAGAGUUUGACCCUAAUGUCUGCGGAACCGUCAAGAUUUGUGUGCUGACUUUCUCUGGAGAUCGAACUGUUGCCAUUGUUGUAGACAAAGAUAACCAGUAGUUCUGCAGAAAAAUAAAUAGAAUAAUGUUAGAACAGCAA